AUACUUACCUGGCAGGGGAGACACCAUGAUCAUGAAGGUGGUUCUGCCAGGGCGAGGCUUGGCCAUUGCACUCUGGCUGUGCUGAUUGUGGUGUAUUCCCUUCUCGGCCUUUUGGCUAGGAUCGAGUGUGAUAUCUGUUCUUAUCAGUUGCCAGCGGAGCGCUGAAGCACC